AACGAACGCUGGCGGCAUGCCUAACACAUGCAAGUCGAACGAGACCUUCGGGUCUAGUGGCGCACGGGUGCGUAACGCGUGGGAACCUGCCCUUAGGUUCGGAAUAACUCUCCGACAGGGGUGCUAACACCGGAUAAUGUCUUCGGACCAAAGAUUUAUCGCCCUUGGUUGGGCCCGCGUUGGAUUAGCUCGUUGGUAGGGUAAAAGCCUACCAAGGCGACGAUCCAUAGCUGGGCUGAGAGGAUGAUCAGCGACACUGGGACUGAGACACGGCCCAGACUCCUACGGGAGGCGGCAGUGGGGAAUAUUGGACAAUGGGCGAAAGCCUGAUCCAGCAAUGCCGGGUGAGUGAUGAAGGCCUUAGGGUUGUAAAGCUCUUUUACCCGGGAUGAUAAUGACAGUACCGGGAGAAUAAGCUCCGGCUAACUCCGUG
rnacentral:rRNA from 1 species